rnacentral:rRNA from 1 species
UACGUAGGGUGCGAGCGUUGUCCGGAAUUACUGGGAGUAAAGAGCUCGUAGGCGGUUUGUCGCGUCGUCUGUGAAAACCCGAGGCUUAACCUCGGGCUUGCAGGCGAUACGGGCAGACUUGAGUACUGCAGGGGAGACUGGAAUUCCUGGUGUAGCGGUGAAAUGCGCAGAUAUCAGGAGGAACACCGGUGGCGAAGGCGGGUCUCUGGGCAGUAACUGACGCUGAGGAGCGAAAGCGUGGGUAGCGAACAGG